CAGACUAGGUGAUAAGUGCAAAUUCUUGAUUGAUCAAAGCGUUCUAGAAAACUGUCCCAGAAAUGUUUGUAGAGUUGAUUCUUGAUAGUUGACAUCGAGUGAGAGAGAUCUAUAAAAGGGAGGGUGUUCCAGAGUCUGACCAAUCUUUUGAAGUUAAAGUGUCUUGUUGUGUUUGAGCGAUGAUGACCUUUAUGAACUAGCUUGUGAUUAGACGAUAGUCUUGUGUUGCUGGUAGAGAAUGAUAUGAACUCAGUAAUGUUGAAGUUGUCUACUGGUUUUUGGAGACACCUGACGGCGAAUAUGACAUCUUGCAACUCUAGCCAGUUCAUUAGUGGUAAAAGGUCCAGUUUAAUGAGGCGACUUUUGUAGUCGAGAAUAUCAGAUCUACAUGUAAGGUUCAGAAUAAACUUUGAAGAUCUUCUCUGGAUUUGUUCCACUUUUGUGAUGGCCUUGUGUGUCUGUGGUCUCCACAGUUGCGAACAAAAUGUUAAAUUAGAUCUAACAAGCGUAGACUAGUAUAAAGUGUUCUUUUUGUGUGGAGAUCAUGAGAGCAUGCAUUGAGUGUUUCUUUUAAUAAGGUACAAACAGCUGUACUGUAGGCCUUCGAACAUAGGUUGUUGAUAUGUUGGUCCCAGGAGAGACUAUUCUGGAUGGUCACUCCCAGGUCUUUGUGAGAGUCUCUUGUUAAGAUUAGCUUUGAGUCCAAAUUGUAUAGCGAGUCAUGAAUGGUUUUACCAAAGUGGAAGUAGACACAUUAGUGUGUAGACACAUUAGUGUGACGAUUAGUACCAGGUCCACAUGGCUUUGACAUGUACAGGAAUGCAAUGAUGCAAAUACUAGAUCUAGUUCUUUCAAGCUCCAAGUACGAGUGAUGGAGGAAUAUUCUAGCUGUAACAGCUCUUAGUAACAUUCACGUAUUGUAAAUCCAACAAAUCACCUCCAGUUGAUCAGCAAACUCUGCCUUGAGAGUUGAAACUGACGAUACCCUUUUAUGUCGAAACAAGAAACAAUUGAAGAAUCUCCAAAAUAAUGAAGAAAAUCACGUUCUGGAUUCUAGGAAAAUAUGACUCGAGGCUGGGAGGAAAAUUGAGGAGCUGAGUUACGUCUCACUACAAGAGGAUAUGCAUCAAUAUAUCGUCCGCUACUGUGCAUGGUUACUCUGAGGACAAGCAUAAGAUUCAAUGGUUGUUCCCACGCAAGAGGAGGAUAAAGUGAGGAAAAGAACUGAUUGAGGGAGUGGAAGAAAAUGGUGACCCUCGCCUUGAGGCAGCACCUCACCAAGCAAGGCUAUCUUGUGGUUGGUUCCUCCGGGGUGAAGAUGUAUCUAUGGACCAAGUCUGUUCUGAGGGGGAGGGGUGAUUGUCACAAGUAUUUGUUCUACAGUAUCGAGAGCCAUUGAUACAUGGAAACCACACCUGGUCUGGCCUGCACCAACAGGCACUAUACCAACCCAGUGGGCACGGAGUGGUGUUGGAAGAUGGACGAUGCGGAUAAAAAAACUCACUACCAAAAUGGUCAAACAAAUUAAAGACACGUCCCGUCGUUGCGGGUGGACACCUGAUUUAAGAAGAGUAUUUGAUGUUAAAUGUCGUGGUUUGGCACUCUAUAUCUCGAAGGAACCGAAAAAAUGUUGUCGGAUCACUUGGAUUAUCACUCCACCAAACUGGACUGAUCAGGAGAUCCACGUCGAUGUAGCCCUUGUACUUAAACUGCACAGCAUAUCUUGGUUUGUAAUUGGGAUCUAUAUAAAUGGUAUCUGUUCCAAACACCUGUCGAUUAUUGCUUCCAGCUGUCUCAUGUAUUGCUGAUAUCCGUCAGUUUGAUAAUAUCUUCGCUUACAUCUGCGUGUGUAUAAUUAUAUAUAAUUUGUUAUCGGACACCUAUAUAUGUACCGUACUCUACCGAGAUAUGCCCACGUUGGUAUACAUAUAUAUAUACAGCGUUGCUUUUAUAUACAGUAACUCUAUAGCUAUGAGUAUAGUGGGUAAUUUUGUCAUCAAAAUGCUCGUUCGUACAGCUCAGAAUGGUGGCGCAUUAAUAAUUUUUGCUGUGUUAAUUUUAGAAUGAUGUUCUAAUUUCCACCAUACGAAUAACAUAUAAUUAUCUUCCGUAUAUAACGCACCAUUUUCGAGGGGCUUAAUUUUCGCUGUUUUUGUGGGUCAGUAUAUAUAGUCUUACGUAAUUCCACGAAAAUUGUUCUUUAAUUAGAAGUACAUCUGCUAUAACGUGCAAAUAUUAAAGGCGUGGCUUCCAGUAAGCAGUCAACCCACAGACAUUAUGCAACGAAUGCUUUUAGAGGCCAUUCCACGAAAUGUAAGUGCCUCGAAAAUUUCGCGCUAUGUCUAUUUUCACCCCCAAAUAUGUUUUUGAGAGCUAUAUAUAGAUUUCCUAGGUGAUAGGGAUUCAAGGUGCAUGUCCCUAUAUAAUUAUACCGUAAUAGCGCGCAAUUUUUAAGGCACUUAACUUUCGUGGAAGGGUCUCUAAAAGCAUUUCAUAAAUUUCAUGCUGUUCAAAUUACGUUGUGUCUUCCGUUCACUAAGCAUUUCGUGGACCUACGAAACUGAUUAAGCCCCACGAAAAUGUACUGUUGCGCUAGAGUAAACGACCGAACAACUCAUUAAUUAAUGAGUUGUUGUUUCACAUAGAUCGCUUGGAAUCAAACUGACAUUCCAAACUGACGUAAACAACUCAUGUAUAUAUACCUGAUGUCACAGUUAAUAUAGUGGUUUUCUGGAUUUAUCAUUUAUAUAGCUAAAGAGUUAUAAUGAUUACACUCUAUAUGUCCACAGUAAGGUCGAUGGUCUCAAUCUUCCUCUUUAUCUCAGACCAGUUCCCCUCCCCAUCAUCAUGUGACCUGUCACCGGUACGUGUAGUGGUAAACCCGGUGUCAAACAGGUUGUUGGUAGGGUUGGCUGGGUCCAGGAGGCGAGGGGUUUUUGGGGUGUCAUGUAGGAUUAUGUUAUCAGUUGCUCCCACAAUGUAGUAGUCGUCCCAAUGAAUACUGUAGAUCAAUGUGUGUAUACUUGUGUUUUGUGUAACAUGCAGAUAUACUCAUACGGUAUUGCAUGAUUAUAUACUUCUACAAUGUAUAGACUGACUUACUCUUGUUUAUCUUCCCUAAGAACGAGGUCUUUAAGCUCAUAUGAGGUCCUAUAGCAUGGAAUAAAUAUAAUUAUGGUAUGCGUGAAUAUAGAUGUAACGGUACCAUGAUGUGAUAACUGUAUAUACGUACCUUUCAGCCAUAUCACGAAAGAUUAGAUUUCCAAAUUUCUCCUUUGCACGCUGAUAAGCUUUUAAAACGAGCAAAGAAAGAAAGUAAGACUUUGGCUUCUUCUGUCCUGGGUAAACGUUUGGCCAUUGUUUGUUCCUCCAUGCCUUAGCACGCUGAAUAAGCACUUUGACCUAUACCAUCGUGGUAUAUACAUGAACAAUGUAUAUAGAUGAACUGCAAUGUAUACGUAUCCCUUACCUCAUUGUCUUGCUUCUGCAUAAACUGCACCUGCCAUUUGGAGGCUCCUAUUGAGAACCUGCGUGUAAUUGGCAUGCAUGCAUGCUUUGUUUCUAUACACAUGACAUGUACGAUAGUACAGUGCCUGUAACCUAGAAUACCACAAAUGUGUGAGUAGUUGUACUUAAGUGUAUCUUGAGAUUGGAAGAUUUCUAAGAAAUGAUGCUGAUACCAUUGUGUAGGUGAAUGAAUAAGCUACAAACAUAUUCAGUGGAAAAUCAUUUAGGUGAAAACGGGAUGAUUGUAAAAAAUGUAUGUAACAUCAAUUAUCUAUGGAAGUAAAGUGUUUCUGGAAAAAUUGCUUCUACCAAAAGAUAGACAAUUUAUUAACAAUACAUGUGUAAAAACCUUAGACCUUAGCCGAAAACUUUACUUGAAAUCUCUCCCUAAGCGAAAAGGCACCCAAAAACACACAUAAUGGAGUAUGAAACAGCGUGUGUACUUAUGUAAACGAUUUUAAUCUAUGCAUAAUUAUGUUAGCUCAACUAUCCACUGAUGUUUUUCCAGAGUUCCAGACCUUAGCCGACAACCGUUAGUGUUUUUCCUCCCUAAGCUUUUGCUCACUAUAACAAUUUGUUGCUGUUGUAAAAGCAACCAUGCACAUACCCACCACUUUAGAUUGCCAUGGAGUUGAAGCUCAAGCAUUCACCUACACUUUGGUAUCAUCAAAAUUUCUUAUAAAAUUAAUGUUUUAAUGUCAAGAUAUGUACCAAAAUUCACGAAUGUGUGGUAUUCUACUCUCUAGGUUACAGGCACUGUAUAGUGUGCAUGCAGUCCUGUUCUUGAAUUUUAACUCACGAGUAGCGCUUUUGAACCGGGAUCUUGUCCAAGAACAGGCUCAGCUGGGAGACGCUGUCCCACCAAGGGGUCACCAGCAUGUCCACGUCAAUGAGGUCCUUGUACCGAAACUGGACAGAGUGAGGUGUCCUAUUCUUAAAUUGCACAUCGCUGUUUUUUUUCAAGAAUUUCUCAAGUUUCUCUAGCCAGUGGCCAUAGCCUUGCUCAAGAACUUUGUGUGGAUCUAGGUCUGUCAAAAAUUUGAGGAGUUAGCUGCCUACGAAAUCCUCAUGUAGACUAUAUAGACUAAAAAUGUUCUUACUAUUAUUCUGUGUUUAGCAGGUGCCCACCUCUUGAGUAGAUGACCAUGUCCAGAUCAAAGUCUCCAGGAACUGCAGUUCCUUGUCCCAGAGAGCCAGCUCUGAUGACUUCACUGAUAGUAAUUGGCUGUUGGUCCUGUCAUGUAAAGCAGAUAAUAGUGAAUUUUGCACAUUACCUGUUGCUCUAUAGUACUUUUAGGAGGGUAGCCAACUCAUCUGUUGCUUCUCUAGCAGCCUUGUGAGUGAGUAGCUCAUUGCUGUGGGGAGGGUGGCAAUUCCUAAAGUCCAUUUGUUAUGUUCUUAUUUCUAUCUCUAAUUGGGUGUAUGUGUGUGUUUGUUUUCUUUUGUAGUAAACUAAAGUACUGUUUACAGAUUAGUCAGCAAAGGGCAAAGGGACUGUCCCAGGGAAAGUCCAUUAUAGGCUCAUUAAUUGAUGCUCCCAACAGCUGCACCCACGUCUUGCACCAUCAUCAUGCUUAGAGCUGAUUCCCAUGAAAAAGUCCCUUAAGAAUAUUCAUUGUUUUGAGAAAAGUAAUAAUCCAUCAAUGAAUAAAGGAUAAGGCUAUAUUCCUACUAAAUUUGUCAGUUGUUAAUUUUCUAGAAUUAAGACAAUGCUUGCACUGCUAAUGAGUAUACCCGACUGAAUUGCCUCAGGGUAUAGGUGAAUAUAAUUAUAGUAAAAGGUCAGCAAACGAAUUUAACAAUCAACUAAUACGUUUAACAAUCAAAUAAUACUUUAAGCAUCGUGCAGCUAUCAGCGAAACAAGUUACUAUAAUAAUACACUACUACACUAUAAUAUUGUGUGCUGCAUGCUAUAUAGUCUUAAUUGUCUGUUUAAGUUACUAAAGUUAGUCAGCUCUCUUAAACGGUCUUAACGUGUGAUCUCCUCCACACUCUUCUCAAGGUCAAAGUAUUCCACUUUGUCCACAAACUGACUCCAGUCCUGCUCGUUUUCACUUGGCCUUUUGUUGGGUGGGUACGUACCAAUGCCAGACAGGUAGACAUUGUUAGCUGGAUUGGUCGGGUCGACCAGGCGUGGAGUGGACGAGGGAAAGAGGGUGGGGUAGUCUCUAUAUAGCUUUGUAGUAGUCUUCCCAAUAGAUGCUGCAUGUGUAUACAAAUACUAUAUAAUUAUAAUAAUAGUUAAUUAAACAUACUCCAUUCUGCUGUGAUUCCGAACAAGUUUCUUCAACUCUUCAGUGAUACUGCAUAAUUAUAAGUUUAAUGAAAUAAUACAUGCAUGGUGAUUAAUUUUACCUUCUAGCUUCAUUGUGUCCACGGUAGCCAUAAGUUUGGCUCGACUGCUGGUUUUCAUAGGCUCGAAGCACCAACAAGGAUAUUAGAAAGGAACUAGGGCUUCUUCGUCCUACUCUACUUUUAGGCAAUAGGCGAUUCCUCCAUGCUUUAGCCCGGACUAUGUACACCUUGACCUAUAAAAUAUCAUACACGCAAGAUUCUGAUGACUCAAACAGAACGCAUGGAGUUCCUGCAGUGUACGAUAUAAGCGUUAUAAAAUUAUAGGCAUGCAUGCAACACAAAGCAUGGCAUGCACAUUAAAAAUUAAAAAUUCAUUGUUAUGUAAUAGUACCUUCUGAUCUUUUUUUCUAAACUCCACUUGCCACUUGGAAGCGUUCAUGCACACUAAAUCUGUGCAUGACUUCCAGGUUGUGUCUUGGCACACUAUCUCGAAGGAACCGAAAAAACAUUGUCGGAUCGUUUGGAUAAUCACUCCACCAAACUGGACUGAUCAAGAGAUCCACGUCGAUGUAGCUCUUGUACUUGAACUGCACAGCAUAUCUUGUUAUGUUGGGCUCUGUAAUGACCCCUGCUCCAAACACCUAUCGAUUGCUAAUGAAAGCUUCUAGCCGUCGUAUGUGUUGGUCAUAUCCAUCAGUUAUGAUAGUAUCUCCGCUCACAUCUGCAUAACAUGCAUGUGUUAUUCAUGCACUUAAGCCACAACUAUAAUAUAUAUGGGUGCGUGCAUAGUGUAUGCUUUUGAUGAUCAUGUCUAUAAUUAUAUAUAGUUUCGCCUCAAAUUUUUUAAGCUAGAUUUAUAGGUGUAUAGGGAUUCCAGGUGCCCCUCUGAGUUAGCACUUCAACGUCGCAUGUGAUAUAGGCCCAGUGAAUGGGCAGGUGUUGCAUACUCUAUAUACAGCUACAUGUACAUGCAUGCAUGCAUGCACGCAGGUUUGCUUGCCGUGAGAGUAGAGCACCAGGUCGAUGUCAAAGCUUCCAGGUACAAUUGUUCCAUGUCCCAUAGAGCCAGCUUUUACGAUCUCGCUCACUCUAAUUUUUGGAUGAGUAUAGCUUGACAAAUUAAGCUGCAUUUUGAACAUAUUAUAUAAUUAUACAGAUUUCUGCAUGCAUAUCUCAUUAUUACCUGUAGAGUAGACACCAACUCCCUAAUGGCUGCUUCAGCCUCAGCAUGUGUAGGUUUCCUAAAGUAGGCCAUCUUGAACUUAUAAAUUUCUGUCUGAGACUGCUGCCUAAUUUGUUAAUUGCUAACAGUUGCUCUCUUUUAUAUUAGUUUCAUAGAUUCCAAGAUUCUAGAAGGUUCUCUGUAAUGGUGACUAUUGUGGUCUAUGUUGUAUAAUUAUCAGGUUUUAGGGGUAUAUUCCUGAAAAUAAUCAGUUCUAGUAAUCUCUCUUUCCUGUGCAGUACUCAGUACAUGUAAUACAAAGGCCAAGAUCAUUAUCUACUACAAGGGCCAAUAAACUGCUUGUGGCAUGAAUUGCCAUGUAAUAACUAAUUUGUUGCCUUGAAAACCAUUUUCUGAUAUAUAUAGAAACCAGCAUAGAGACCACUUGCUGCAUAUAGAUGUGAAAAAAAAAGUAAUUUGGUAGUUUUUGUUCUGUUUUUGGUGGCUGGAUUUACAAUAAUUAUAUAAACAGUGGUUUGCAGAACAGUUGUCAUAUUAUACUCAGAGUAGCAGUAGGCGGUGACUUUUACAAGGUUACUUUGCCCCAGUGCAACAUGUCCCUGGUUAAAACAUGUGCAAUUCAAGUAACCCACGUGCUGGGUUACAACAACAGAUAAAAGUAUACACAUUUAAAACAAGUAGAAAUACUAAGCUACAGGUUGUUGUAACCAGCCAUAUAGGUUCUUUUAAGCAUAUUUGGUAAUGGCAAGGGCGUAUAAAAGAAGAGAGGGCAUGCAUGCAACUCCAUAUGAGCAGAGUUCAAACGUGGGCAGAUGAAUGUGCAUGACUGGCAUGAAAUGCGAAAUUUCUAUUUUUAGCACUUCAUGCAAAUUAAUGCACACAUUCCUCUGCCCACGUUUGAACUCUGCUAGCUACGUGUACUAAUAUAGUGGAGUUGCAUGCUCUCUCUUCAAUCUUUUAUACGCCCUUGGUAAUGGGUCGUAGCAACUUCCCAUAGGUAGAAACAUCCAGCUAUAUGUAGGUUUUAGCAACCAUGCACAGCAGCAGCCAUACGUAGAAGUACCCGCCCAUGCAGCUAUAGGUUGUAGCAACCUCCCGUAGGUAGUAUAGCUAAUCGGUCAAAACAACCGCGCUAAAAUUAUAGGUUCUUUUGACUCACAUUUCAUCACUCAUGCAUAAUUAUUGUAGAAAAACUCAGUGCCGUGUCGUGACAUACAUGUAAGUGUGUGCUAAUUACAAUCAUCACAAAAACAAGAAACUGAUAACGUACUUACAUACAGUACAUUCAGCCUAUAGAGUAAAUAAACGCAAUUUGGUGCGUAAUGGUACAUAAAUGUAAAUAUUUUGGGAUUGGAACAUUUCUAAGAAAAUAUGAUGAUAUACCAUUGUGUUGGUGAACAAAUUAUCUAAAAGUCCAAAAAGAUUUCCAUGGCAACCAAAGGUGGUGGGUAUGUGGUGGUUUAUAUAACACCAACAUUUUUUUAUAGUGGAUAAUCGCUUAGCAAUGGAAAACACCAUCGUUUUCGGCUAAGGUAUGGAAUUUUGGCACAACAUUCCUGAAUAGUUAACCUAACAUAAUUAUGCAUGCAUGUACACGUCUCACUACAAGGAGGAUAUGCAUCAAUAUAAUUAUCGUCCGCUACUGUGCAUGGUUACUCCGAGGACAAGGAUAAGAUUCAAUGGUUGUUCCCACGCAAGAGGAGGAUAAAGUGAGGAAAAGAACUGAUUGAGGGAGCGGAAGAAAAUGGUGACCCUCGCCUUGAGGCAGUACCUCACCAAGCAGCCAAGGUGUGUGUGUGUGUGUGUGUUGGAAAAAGUGUGUGUGGUCAGUGAUGAUAUUCAAGAGACGGGCGGACUGAGAACAGUGUUCUGUGCAGACUGUCUCUAAUUCUGAGACCAUUACCAGUAACUUUCUGCGGUGUCGAUUCUGCCGCUUUUUAGAAUGUUCUGUCACUGUUAACAAGAGCUAGAUAUUGCGACUGAGAUGUGCUUCAUAAAGAAAAUACCGAGUAUACUACUCUUGGAAAGUUGUCUGAACAUAAAAUGUAUGUGCUGUGGGCCAUUGAAGGAAUGCCACACGGAAGAAGAUAUCAGCAUUGGAAAAACUGAAGCUGCAAGAGAUAGACGGCUGGCUUGGUGUGCCAAAGAUGAAAGUUCAAACGAAGUUAUCAAGUGAUUCUAAUAUUACAUUGUGUCCUUUGCAAAUUCCUGCCAUCCUUUGUCCUUCCUCCGACCAGACAUGCCACUGACGUACACAUUGUUGGUGGGAUUGGCCGGCCACCACGGAGCAGGAAGGAGGUGAGAGUACUUCUCUCGGAUCAUCUUUAGCCCAGAGUCUUUAGCUCUGGACUAUUAAGCGUAAUAGUGCAUGCAAGGUACAUGUAUGUCAUCAUUAUAGUGCUUCAUAUCAAUUAUUGUUUCAAUAAUGUAAGGUACUUUACUUUUGAGGAACUAAAAUACAGUUUCCGUGGAUUGGCUUCGAACCUUAAAAAUUGUGCUCCUCGAAAAUAAAGCACUAUAAAGGACUGUAUAUAUACAGUAGAACCUCGCUAAUCCGAAUAAGGGGGACUAAACCCCCAUUCAAAUAUACAUGAAAAUUUUGGAUGUCAUUAAGUAUCAUUAACAAAGAACACUCACAUGCACAUGCAUGCAUGUAAUAUUACUGUGGCCAGAAGGAAAGCUGCUAGCUAAUUUUAUCUCAAAUUUCUAAUAUACAGCGAGUCUUGUGAGCUCUUUUCGUUUUCUUUGCAGUAUAGCCAUUGUAUUCAGUGAGGUAUUGAGCAGUUUAUUAAUAAAGUGCGCAUGUGCAGUAGUCUAUUCUACAGCCCUCUUCUUUUCAGUUUAAUAUUAUUUUUUGUCCGGUCUCCGAACUUUAAAAAGGGUCCAGAUUAGCUAGGUUCUAUACUGUACUUAAAGGUGGCAUAAAAUUGGGUAUUAAUUUCUGCUAAUUCUGCAAAUGAGAGUAAAAUCGCAAAAAUGUGUACUCGUAAAUGAUGUUCUUGCGUACUUGGAAAAAUUCCUCACAUUUUUCCACUACUGCAGCAUACUGUCUUCGCUCCUCAGCAGUAAUAUUAGUGAACACUAGGACUGACUCCGCUUCUUCUCCUAAAAUGUAUUGACUUGUUUCGACUGUGACUCUCCUGCAAGGCCUGAUGCUUCUCGAAAUUGUUCAAACUGUCUUUUCCAGCAUGGCCAGGCAUCAGGUGUCUGAUUUUUUUUCCAAAAAAUGGGACGUAGACAAAAUUUAGACGUAGACAUAAACACAGCACACAACUGAAAAAUGACAUAGGUUAUAGGACAUAGGUUAUAGGCUAGUGGUGAUUUUUGGUACACAUGCAGUUAAUUCAUGUACACUAUUGAUUAUAAUUAUAAACUCUAAGAAGAGGCCAUAAUUAUACCUGUCCUCACACUUUGUAAAAACAGGUAAACUUUCCCCACAGUCCCCGUGAUACUCUUGGAGUGUGCUAGCAAGGAGAUGAAAUAUAGGAGUUUGGCUCAUUGGGUUCCACUGUCUUGUCACUUUUAUACGCUCAUGCUUUUUCCCUUCGAAUCAGCUUGUGUAUAUCUACGUUGUGAAUCGAAUUUGUAUUGUACAGUGGCCCAGAGAGUACGAUUAACCUUUACUAGCGGACAGUAUACGAUGACCUUCGAUAGUAGAGAGUUGACCUUAGCUAGUGGACAGUGCGAUUAACCUUCGCUAGUGGAGAGUUCAUUUUUCAGUCUAGUGAAAGCUUACCUUAGCUAGAGACAUUUAGGGGGGUGCUGAUUUUUUUGACUUUUGCUACAUUUUUAUAGAGCCAGGCACUUUUAAUACACUCACUACGCUCAGGGUACUACAGCAGUGCCUUUGCAUGACAUUCUAAAUUCCGUAGACACAUCCGAAACAGUAUAUAACUAUUUUAAUUUCUAGUCUAUAAUUAUAAUUAUUAUAAUAUAUAUAUACCUUAAUCUUAAACAUUUUUAUAGCUGCAUGUAACUUUGUGUGUUUCUACUUUGUCCACCAUGGAGUCUCUAUAUAUAUAGCUUGUUUUAUUGUUUCACUGUGUUCCAGAUGCACCUUCAAAUACAAUUCCUUACAAUUGGUGAUCAUGCUGUUUGCUCUGCCAUUCAUAUAAUCUGCUAUCCACUGCUCUUGUUUCUUGUCAGAAGGAUACAAACUUUGAUAUUUCGAUAUAGAUCUACUUCACUCACUUUAUUACAGGAAUAUUCCAAACUUGACCUUAUUACUCAAAGAUGGCUUCCCGUGCAUGCUCAUGAAGCUUAGACUCGCAAGCCGUCACUGUUGCAGGUGAACAGUGACGGCUUGCGAGUCUACAUGAAGCUUAUGAAAGCUCUGAUUCUCCUGGCUCUUGUCCAGUUAUUCCAUGGUGAAUACCUAUAUAGCAACUCAGUGUCUGACAAGUUUCUGAAGAACGGCGGCGGAUGUCAUCUGGUAUUGAAUGGAAUGGAGUUUUUAGGGAUCAAACUGUACUGACAAUUUAAUAUACUAUUAUUCCAUGACUGAGAUCAUGCCUUCACACUGUAUACUGUGUAUGUAGAUCUAUAUAUAAGCUUACUACUCGUUACUAAAUGUUAGUUUUGACUUUACCAUACUCUUAAACUCGCUAGCUAGC